GAUCAUUUCUCCCUUACCGAUUAGGUCAUCUUAUAAUCUAAUCAGAUCUGACCUAAUUGAAUCCAAUUCAAUCAAACUUGAUCCAAACUUCAAUGUUCAAUCAAAUUAAGCUAAUUAAUGAUCUAAUCAUUAAUUAAUUCUCUAUUAAUAAUAGAGUUCAAGUCUAAUGAGACUCUUCUCUAGAGUCCCCGUCCAGUGGGAUUCUCUAGAGUCUCCGUCCAGUGGGACUCUUCAGUAGAGUCUCCGUUCAGUAAGAUUCUUCAGAUUAGUCAUGUGAUCCGAGAGAAACUUCUAAUGUAUAUGACUCCAUAGGUUCGAACCUAAGUCAGUAUCACAAAAACUGAUUUCUGUACCAAUCAAAGUAACCAUCUAGCAAUGGUACCCGAUAUCUGGA
rnacentral:lncRNA from 1 species